CGAUCCAUGGUGAAACAAUGCUGAGGCAGGAUUAGAAUCUGAUGAAUGGGUUUGCUGUGCCUCAAAAGCGAGGAUCCUGGAUAGGAGGUUAGAGAAAUCUGGAAGGGAGGAAGACUGAGCAAGGGCAGUACGAAGCAUCAGGUAAUCUGGUCCAAGUCCAUGAAGUGUGGCCACAACAAGAUCAGCAUCAGAGACGGGUUGAUUAAUGGAGGCUAGGGAAUCAGCAAUUGACUUGGCUUGUUGGAGGUAUUCAUCAACUGAUUGCGAACCCUUUUGAAGAUCAAAGAGUUGAAGUUUGAGGCUCGUGGCACUGGCAACAGAUUUUUGGGAGAAAUGGCGGGCAAGGCAGUCCCAUAUCCCUUUUGAUGUAUCGAAGCCAAUGGUGAGACGUGCUACAUUUUCAGAAAGGGAAGUGGUGAGAAUGCUAACGAUUUGCUGGUCAGUAGUGAACCAGGUUUCAUGCUUAAGAUUGGGAAUUAUUGUGGCAGGUUUGCCUUCACUAGCAGGUUGUGUUUUGGUGGCAGAACGUUCAGGGAUAGACCCAUCUAUAUAUCCCCCUAGUUUCGCACCAUGAAGAUAUGGUUUUAGCUGAGGAAGCCAAACAAGAUAAUUUGAUUCUGUAAGUUUGGUGAACUGAGCAGUGUUUUGGGAGGGAGGGUUGGACGAGGAAGAGGCCAUGGAGAUAGGGAAGGAGGACAAAGACACAGGAAGAAGACAUAGGAGCAUUUUAGGAAUAUCAAUGGCUAGUGAUUGAGGAAGAUUGAUUAUCUUUAACACAAUGCCUGAGAGUGACCGCUGGGAUGCGUGCCUGGCACGACCUAUCAGCAGCUUCCAUGAGCACUAUGCACUCAUCUCCGGGGUGCCAGCUCAGGAGUAAAGUUCAAUUAUAAUCACCCAUCAGGUUAUUCUCACACCGUCAGAACUUUCGUCUAUCGACCGUCUAGUGUACCAGCAUACUGCAUUUGAACGUUGUAGGCUUGAUGUAUAUUACUGUUCUAUAGUUGCAAUCUUGCUUUGCCUAUAUUAAAUGGAAUUGGAAAAGAGAUUAUGUAGUCAUUACACAGUGAAUGUUAUUAUAGUGCUGUGGGAGGUUGAUGCUGCAGUCUAGUUUUUGUUAAGCAUCUUUCUUGUUAAUUAAGACCAGUCCUUGAUUGAAAUAACAUAUAGCAAUACAGGAACUUUCAUAAAAUUAAAAUAGUAUAUUUUGCUGAAAACAUACUUUUUAGUUAGACAGUAGCUUUGAUAGAUCCAAGUUUAGUAUCCAAUGAGUCAUCAAAGAAUACACAAAUGCAGAACUCUGAUGAACAUAAUAGUGGUAAGAUAUAGGACACACCUUUCUUCUGUAUUCAUGUGGUAGGCAGCUGUUCCUCAAUUUAAAAGAUAUUGCAAUAAUAAUUUGAUAUACUGUUAUCCUAAAAAUGUUUCUAGCAUAUGAAUGUGAGGCCAUUUUUUACUUGUA